rnacentral:rRNA from 1 species
AACGAACGCUGGCGGCGUGCUUAACACAUGCAAGUCGAACGCGAACGGGUUCUUCGGAACCUUAGUAGAGUGGCGCACGGGUGAGUAACGCGUAAGUAAUCUACCCUGACAUCUGGAAUAACUCACCGAAAGGUGUGCUAAUACCGGAUACGCUGAGUAAUCAGGAAAGGUGGCCUCUUCAUGAAAGCUACCGUGUCGGGAGGAGCUUGCGUACCAUUAGCUUGUUGGUGGGGUAAUGGCCUACCAAGGCGACGAUGGUUAGCGGGUCUGAGAGGAUGAUCCGCCACACUGGAACUGAAACACGGACCAGACUCCUACGGGAGGCAGCAGUGAGGAAUAUUGCGCAAUGGGGGCAACCCUGACGCAGCGACGCCGCGUGGAUGAUGAAGGCCUUCGGGUCGUAAAAUCCUGUCAGAUGGAAAGAAAUGCCCUAUGCCUAAUAUGUGUAGGGUUUGACGGUACCAUCAAAGGAAGCACCGGCUAACUCCGUGCCAGCAGCCGCGGUAA